GGAGGGGUUCCCGAGUUGGCCAAAGGGGGCAGACUGUAAAUCUGUUAGCUGCGCUUUCACAGGUUCGAAUCCUGUCCCCUCCACCA
rnacentral:tRNA from 1 species